AUGGGUUUGAUUUUCCGGGUACUACUAGUCUUUCUUGUGGUGCUCGCCGCACUCGCCACCAUCUCCAACGCCCAUGGUGACGGUACACUCACUCUCCGAUGCCAUCCGGAUGAGGCUGCAAGCCUCCUCCAACUGAAGAAAUCCUUCUCUUUCUUCCGUUACCCCAGUGGCCUUGAGUCAUGGCAAGAUGGUACCGACUGUUGUCUUUGGGAAGGCGUUGGCUGCAGCAAUUCCUUCGGCCAUGUCACUGCUUUGGAGCUCGGUGGUUGUGGCCUCUAUAGUCAGGGCCUUGACCCUGCAAUCUUCAAGCUCACCUCGCUCCAAUUACUCGACCUUAGCAUGAAUAAUUUUGGCAUGCACAUUCUCCCGGCAAGCGGGUUUGAGAGGCUCUCCUUGCUGACUCACCUCAACCUCUCCAAUUCGAGAUUCCAAGGCAAGAUACCCAUUGGCAUCAGCAAACUUGUCAACCUUAUCUCCUUGGAUCUUUCUGUUUCCUAUUAUGACACUACUGAAGAUUCACUUAGUGACUAUGAUAGCAGCAUCGCUAUCAUUUCUUAUGUGUUCUGGCUGCCCAACUUUCAAAACCUAGUGGCCAACCUCAAAAAUUUGAGAGAGCUCUACCUUGAUGGAGUGGAUAUGUCUAGCAGUGGAGACUGGUGUCAUGCUCUUGCAGAAUCUCUUCCAGAUCUCCGAGUUCUUAGCUUAAGUUCUUGUUUUCUCGGCGGUCCUAUCUGUUGGUCCCUCUCAAGACUCCACUCUCUAACUGCAAUAAACUUGGAAGAUAACUUUGAUAUACUGGCUACUUUUCCAGAGUUUUUCAUGGAUUUUUCCAAUUUAAGUGUGCUCCAACUUGCUCGGACAAAUCUCCAAGGGUGGUUCCCUCGUAGAGCUUUUGAAUCAAAAACUCUGCGAGUUCUUGAUUUAUCCGGGAAUCAGGAUCUCUUAGGGCAUGUGCCCAACUUCUCCAAUGCAAGUUCCUUAGAGACAAUGAUGCUAGACGGGACCAAUUUAUCCUUUGCAAAACCAGGAUCGUUUAGCAAUUUCAAGUCUUUGAAAAGGUUAAGUUUUGAUGUGAUUUUUUUCUCAGUGGAUCCUCCAUCUUCACUCGAUAUCCUUGGGUCUCUACGGCAAUUGCAAGUCUCCCAGGUGGACUCGGCAGUAGAUGUAGGGGCAAUUUUCUCAUGGAUGUCAGACCUGCAGAAUUUGCAAAGCUUAAAACUCUCCUGGUGCAACUUCUCCCAGACAUCUUUUUCUUCAGUUGCCAAACUCAAGAGCUUAAGAAGCCUGACAAUUUCUGACUGCAGCUUAACUAGACCAGUGCUAUCAACAUUAGGUUAUCUAGUAGAUUUGAGAAGCCUGGAGAUCUUUAAUUGCAUAUUUAGUGGUUCAAUACCGUCUGCAGUUGGCAACCUCACAAACUUGAGAGUCUUGAAAAUCAAUGGAUGCGACUUUUCAGGGCCGAUACCAUCUUCAAUUGGUAAUCUCAUGAACCUGAGAAGCUUGGAAAUAAAUGGUGCUUAUGGCUCUUUCGACAGCCAUGCUGGCUCUUCUGUGGCAAUACCAUCUUCAGUUGGCAACCUCAGUAACUUGGUAAGCUUGGAAAUCUGGUAUUGCUUUUUCUCUGGGCAAAUACCAGAUGCAGUUGGACUACUCAAGAAGUUGGCAGUUCUUCGACUUGGACAGUGUGGCUUUUCUGGACGCAUACCAAAUUCAAUUGUUAACUUGACUCAACUAAUUGAUCUAGAUCUUUCAUCUAAUGUUCUCAACGGUAAGAUUGUAUAG
rnacentral:rRNA from 1 species